UACGAAGGGGGCUAGCGUUGCUCGGAAUCACUGGGCGUAAAGCGCACGUAGGCGGGUUGUUAAGUCGGGGGUGAAAUCCUGGAGCUCAACUUCAGAACUGCCUUCGAUACUGGCGACCUUGAGUCCGGGAGAGGUGAGUGGAACUCCGAGUGUAGAGGUGAAAUUCGUAGAUAUUCGGAAGAACACCAGUGGCGAAGGCGGCUCACUGGCCCGGUACUGACGCUGAGGUGCGAAAGCGUGGGGAGCAAACAGG
rnacentral:rRNA from 1 species